rnacentral:lncRNA from 1 species
CUCUGGCCACAGCAGGAACAAGAGGCUCCUCUCCAACUCCUCCAUGAGCACACUCUGGUCCUGGGGCCUGUUCUCUCUCCAUGCAGGAGCUGUCACAAACUCCGGAGGUGGUGGCAAUGCUGGCUACACCACUCAUCCCAGCACCACCGGCCCCAGAGCCCAGUCAUCUGUCAGUGCCUUCACUGCCAGUGUUCAUGGACCACAUAAAACACCAAGAGACAGGGGUCCAGCUGUCUCUGGCAGCUUCACUCCUAUGAGAAAUGGAUGGGAGCAGCAGCAGCAGAAAAAUGGUCUAAUUUAUCAUCAUUCCCCACAACUUGCUCAACCUGAAACUACUCUGUGCCCUUUGGUUUGGAGCUGAGCUCUUUGCCUAUGCCAUUUCCUCUCCUGAUAAGGUAUGCUUCCUGUGUAGUCUUCUCAAUCUAGCUGACAUCUUCUGCCUGUUCCCUGUGUUGAUGGAAUGGAUACUGGAUGACAAAAUUGAAUGGCAACCCUGUCUCAGCCUAAUGCUCGAGCCCAUGCA